rnacentral:miRNA from 1 species
AGUAGAGACGAGGUUUCACCAUGUUGGUCAGGCUGGUCUCAAACUCCUGACCUCAGGUGAUCCUUCCACC